rnacentral:lncRNA from 1 species
ACAGAAGCCACCCUGUAGACCAGCCCUGCCACUACCAAAACCACACAAACCUCACAUAUCAGUAUAGCUUGGAUAUUAAUAGCAUAGCUGAUCUUAAAAUUUCAAAUUUGUGUAGGCUGAGUAACAGUUGUUUAGGGUGCAAAAAUGCAUAGUUUGAAAUAUCCUCAUGUAAAUGUCUUAAAGCUUUGCAAGUCACAGACAAAAUGUUAAGAAGAUAAGAAGGUAAUUUUACAUUUUUCUUUAUUCCUUCAUAGAUAUAUUUUAAUCACUGCAAAGAUCUCUGUGCUUUGGAAAUAAGAAGGUAGAACACAAUUCAUGAGAUAGCUCUUAAAAUUUUAGGAAUCAUUCUAUGGAAGUUUCUGUUUCUCUACUAGCAAAGGAAGACCAGAGAACAACAUUUCCUAGACCUUCAUCAGAGACAAUCCUGAAGGAAAAGACACAUCUACAUGAGUUCACUAAAUGCCUGGCACUGGAACCAGGUGACAUGGUGCAGCUUGUGCCUAGGCUGGCAAUUUACCCUGCCACACUUAUAUUCUGUCUGCACGCCAUGUGGCACAAGCCCCAACACGGUAAGGACCCUACUCAUUUUACUCAUGCACCAGUAUGACUCCUCAGCACGUUGUGCAAUGAACCUCUCCUUCUCUGUCUCACAUGGCACGUAGAGCACACCUAGGGGAUUUAAAGUAACCACAGUAACCACAUUGUCAGGUGGGGAAUCACUCUUGGAAUUGUCCCUCCACCCUGCUUGUGUUAUGCAGGGAUAGCAGAUACCAGAUUAUGGGUGCUCUCUUUCUUCUUCAUCUCCCUCCCAUAGGCUCACAAUAUAUAUUUCCUGACAACAAAGACUGAAAACAAGAUUUAUGCCCACCAGAGCUCUUCCAGGGGCUAACUUCUUUAUCCAAUCUGAUGGCAAUGGAAUCAUGGAAAAAUGGUCUUGUGGCAAAAAGCCUUCUGGCCUGCAUUAGGAGAAGCACUUUCAGCAGGUUGAGGCAGCAAUUCAUCACGUCCUGUGAGGGAGGAGGUGCUCCUUCCCCAUGCUGAAGUUGCAUUUAGUGUCCUGAGUCCAGGUCCAGGCUGUCCAACCCAAGAGAGACAUGAACAUCCUAGAGCUGGUUGAUGGAGGAUUUAGCCAUAGUCAAGAAAAGAGAGCUGGAAGUGUUCAGCCUGGAGAGAAGUCUGCAAAAGAGACUCAGUCUGCAAAAACAUUUGAUGAGGGGCAACAAAGAAGUUAAAGCCAGACUCUUCUGACAGGUGACAGGAUGAGUCAAGGGACACAAACUGAAAUAAAUGAAAUUGCAUUUCAACA